AGGUACACGCACGGCGUGUUUCCGUUUUCGUGCUGACGCCACACUUUUGCUCACCCCCUCUUUAUCGAGCUCGCUCUGCCGUACUUCUCUCUCCCUGCCACCAACUCCAUCGUCGUGCAGUAAUCAUUGACGAGGAAGAACAACAACGCCAAGCAACUCCCCCCUCCCCUCCUUAAGCCGAAGGACUGUUGAACCAUCGCGGCAAGAUAAACGGACCCACUUGCAUUUGACCGAGCGCACCCACACACGCGCCAACCAGCCGACGGAGACGCGCACAUCCCUCGGCCUUUCUCUCCGGCUUUGGCAACUUGCGUGCACUUGUUGUCUCGCAUCAUCGUCUUCUUGGAUGUCUGCAAACACACCUCAGCACCACAAGGGCCAUCAAGUCGCCGCCGGAGAGACUUUCUUCUACCGUCAGCAUGUGCGUCCAGGCGUAGAGACGACCUUUCGCAUUCGGCUUAUUUCUGGCACCGCCAACCCAGACCUCACCGACAACGUGGCCAAGUGCCUGAACGUGGACAAGUGCCGCACGGAAAUCAAACGGUUUGCUAACGGGGAGCUGAACAUCAAGGUGGUCGACAAUGUUCGCGGUGAUGACUGCUUCAUCAUUCAGCCGACUGCCGGCGGCUUCGACACGGACGUCAAUACGGCCAUGAUGGAGCUGCUGCUGCUGGUGCACACUCUGAAGCUGUCUUCGGCGAAACGAAUUACGGCUAUCGUGCCCUACUACGCGUAUAGCCGCCAGGAUCGCAAGAGUGAGCCGCGUGUGCCGAUCUCUGCCUCAGCGGUGGCGCAGCUGCUGCAGUGCAUGGGUGUUGACCGUGUCGUGACGAUGGAUCUGCACUGCGGUCAGAUACAGGGCUUCUUCAGGAACAUCCCGGUGGACAACCUGCUCAUGUUCCCCGAGUUUGCCACAUACCUGAUGCGGCAGCCAUGGUUUGACAAGAACCAAACCGUGGUAGUCUCGCCCGAUGCCGGCGGCGUGGAGCGCGCCAACGUGCUGGCCGAUCGCAUCGGCGCUAGCCACAUUGUUACCAUCCUGAAGCGUCGCAAGGAGGCCGGAAAGGUGGACUCUAUGCAGACGGUCGGUAACGUCCAGGGCUACACGUGCGUCAUCGUCGACGAUAUGGUCGACACCGCGGGCACACUGUGCAAGGCGUGCGACCUACUGAAGGAGAUGGGCGCGACGCGUGUCAUUGCCUGCGCGAGCCACGGCAUUUUGACCGAUCCGGCGUGUGACCGCAUUAACGCCUGCGAGGCACUGGAAGAGUUAGUGGUCUCCGACUCGAUUGAUCAGCGCCUGACAACGGCGAAGUGCGAUAAGCUGACCGUACUGACGACUGCACCUCUGCUGGCGCAAGCCGUGCACAGCCUCCACACGGAAGCGUCGUUGUCCUCUCUUUUUGUGAAGCUGUAGCUCCCAGCUCCGCGACACUAGAAAGAGGCGCGCCCGUGCGUGCGCCACCGUCGCUUUCACGUUCAUACACCCUAACAUGAAAGCGUGCAGCAGUGGAAACACGAAUAAAGCCGAACGCGCCCGCCCCUCCAAACAGAGAGAACGAAAGCGGCCCGAGAGGGCGAAGCGGAACUUCUUCAUCCCUUUUCCGCCCGUCCCGCACCCGUUCCUUUUUUCCCGCCUCUCUCUCUCUCGUUUUUUUACCUUUUUGUUAACUUUCUGAUCCUCGUAUUUGUUCGCUUAAUAUCUUCGUGCGGAUGUAGAUGUGUGUGUGUGUGUGCGCAGGUGUGCAUGGCGGGUUCUAUGUGCUGUAGCCGGAUGCGGGCGUCUGCGUGCCUGCAGGGGUGCGCGAUGCCGUGGUGGUGGUGCGGGGGAAAUCGGAGAGGCACUGCGUUUCCUUCUAUACAUUCACAAUAACAAGGCGGAAAAAGAUAAACGAGUAGAGCAAAGGGCUCGUCUCACAUUCCACAAGGCACGCACCCAUACUUGCCAUGCCGCGGAUGUCUGCGGCGUUUUCUCUGGGUCAGGCUUGUGUGUGUGGGCGUUUUACUGUGGAGAUUCAUCGAGCUCGUCCUUAUGGCCGUAAACGCGUGACGUGCAUAUUUUGUGAGAUGUAGCAGGAGCGCCUAUUUUGCUCUUCGUCCUUGAGUGUCGGUGUGCGCGCGCGCCUGCGAGGGGUCUCUCUCUUUUUUUCGCGCUCCACUUUUUUCUCGUGUUUGCGUGUGUUUGUUUGAUGUUUACGUUUUGAUUGAUUUCGGGUGUCCUCUGCACAUCCGCACAAUGCUGGCAAACGUAAAG
rnacentral:misc_RNA from 1 species